UGGAGAACCUGUUGCAGAACAAGUGUUUAUGUCUUUCUUUGGGCAUGUUGUGCAGGUGAGAGCAGAUGGAGAUGAAGGAGUUUUGACAGCCACACACUCAGAGGAGCCUCAGAUUAAUGGUAACUGCACCAAGAGCAACUGAAUUCAAAGCCUGUAGGAGAGGUCACAGAGCAUCUUGUUGUGCCACAUGGUGCUGUAGCUCUCCUGAAAGCUACCAGUAUUCUUGCUUUCCUCCUGACAUUUGAUGUUUAAGAGGGACCUCAGUCCAGUCUUCCUGAUCAACAUCUGCAGUGUGAC